CUUGCCAUUGUAUGUCGAUGUACAUUUAUCGUAUACAUUUUUACGUAAGGUGAUGAUGAAAAUUGUUCAUAAUGAAAUAGAAAGCUCAGACGUUCUAUAUAAUAUUUCGGUGACGCAAGGUUAUUUCGACCUAGUAACGUCAGUAAUCAUUAGAUGGAAUAUUCUACUCUGGGAAGAUAUGCUAGGUAAGAAAUAUUUCUUGUUAUCUCAAUUGAAACAUUUAGUAAUAUGAAAUUUUGAGGAAGUAUGAUGAGAAGAAUAAUAAAAGCAUAAAAGUAGUUACAUGCGCAUCGAUAUUUCCAACGGGUAAACCGCCAUUUUUUUUUUUUUUUUUUUUUUUUUUGUCCACGAUUACGAGGUGCCCACCAGGCGCCAAACGCCAGUUCCAGACUAGUAGCUGCAUCUUUAUCCUGUACCUUGUGAGACCCAGGCCUGUACCUUCAUCAAGCCUGAUACUACCUGCUUACUGCACUUCUGGGACACUAGAGGCUGUGUUGACGCUGUUGCUGAGGCUUAACUACACGGCCUCAUCAAAAACACCACCAAGGGCACAGCCAACCAGUAUUCUACCUACCUACCUCCUAAGGCCCUAAGACCUAAGGGCCUUGCAUCCAACAACAUUCCUGGUCUCCUCCCUCGCAUGGGAAUCAAGAUUUACUACAGCAAGAUAUAUGCUGGCAAUUGAUGGUGUUGUUGUCACUGAGCAUAUUGCCACAUUUACCACUGGCCUAGCUUUGCUGUUGGCCUCCUAUUACUACUUCAUUAUAAUGUACCCCAUGGAUUCUGCAUCAACACCUGAGUUCAUUCAAAGAUGUUUUGUUGGCAUCAAUCCCGAAUGGCAGAGCAAGAUAGAAGUAAAAAAAACAUUGCAAAAGGCAUUCUGAAGUCCAUCCGAAGAUGCUGUCAGCCACUACAAUUGUGAUACUCAAGUGGAUGAAACUUCUCUUCCAUUCUUGCUGAUGUACUUAAAUAAUUUUUUUUUUUCUUAAUGAUGUGUCAAUGAUUAUAAUGGUGAUGCUGUAAAGGUGAUGUAUUUCAUUAUUUAUUUUUUUCUGGAAUGCUCUUUUUAAUGGUAUAAUGAUGAUUAUAAUGGUGAUGAUGAUGAUGAUGUCAAGUUUUCUCCAUGCAAGUAUAAUGAUGAUUAUAAUGGUGGUGAUGAUGAUGAUGAUGAUGAUGAUAAAGGUUUUCUCCAUGAUUGGUGUUGCAUAGUUAAAUACCUAGGUUCAUAUUUUUUUUUCUGGAAUGCUCUUUUUUAUUGGUGUAUGCAGUGAUUAUAAUGGUGAUGAUGAUGUUGAUGAUGUAAAGUUCUUUCCACGCUGGUUUAUGUAUAGUUAAAUGCCUAGGUUCUUUAUGAUUUUUUUUCAUUUCUGGAAUUGUCUUUUAAUGAAGUGUAAUGAUGAUGAUGAUAAUGUAAAGUUCUCUACAUGCUUGCUGAUGCAGUGAAAUGCUUAGAUUUAUUAUUACUUUUAUAUAUUUAUUUAUCAUUUUUUAGGAAUGCUCUGAUGAAGAGUCAAGUAAUUGAUUAAAUUGUAUAGUGUGGUUUAGUAGAAAUAUUUUUGCAAGUUUAUCUAAUGUAUUUUUAGUUUAAAAAAUGUGCUCAGGUAAUUUCUCCUUUUACCUCAUUUUGAUUUUGAAGCCUCUUAUCUAGUUCAUCUUUUACAUGAGAACAUGAGGAAAAUGUAGGCUGUCCAUGCCCUAACCUGACGUGCUGUUGGACACAUUAUUUGUGUUGAAUAAAAUCUUUCAGCUAUGAA